GGGAGAUGAUGAGUUCUUAUUGGUCCGUGUUUCUGAAUUUACUGUGACUGAGAAACCAUUCCUACUUCUGAUCUC
rnacentral:snoRNA from 1 species